GAUGAACGCUGGCGGCGUGCCUAAUACAUGCAAGUCGAGCGAACGGACGAGAAGCUUGCUUCUCUGAUGUUAGCGGCGGACGGGUGAGUAACACGUGGAUAACCUACCUAUAAGACUGGGAUAACUUCGGGAAACCGGAGCUAAUACCGGAUAAUAUUUUGAACCGCAUGGUUCAAAAGUGAAAGACGGUCUUGCUGUCACUUAUAGAUGGAUCCGCGCUGCAUUAGCUAGUUGGUAAGGUAACGGCUUACCAAGGCAACGAUGCAUAGCCGACCUGAGAGGGUGAUCGGCCACACUGGAACUGAGACACGGUCCAGACUCCUACGGGAGGCAGCAGUAGGGAAUCUUCCGCAAUGGGCGAAAGCCUGACGGAGCAACGCCGCGUGAGUGAUGAAGGUCUUCGGAUCGUAAAACUCUGUUAUUAGGGAAGAACAUAUGUGUAAGUAACUGUGCACAUCUUGACGGUACCUAAUCAGAAAGCCACGGCUAACUACGUGCCAGCAGCCGCGGUAAUACGUAGGUGGCAAGCGUUAUCCGGAAUUAUUGGGCGUAAAGCGCGCGUAGGCGGUUUUUUAGUCUGAUGUGAAAGCCCACGGCUCAACCGUGGAGGGUCAUUGGAAACUGGAAAACUUGAGUGCAGAAGAGGAAAGUGGAAUUCCAUGUGUAGCGGUGAAAUGCGCAAAGAUAUGGAGGAACACCAGUGGCGAAGGCGACUUUCUGGUCUGUAACUGACGCUGAUGUGCGAAAGCGUGGGGAUCAAACAGGAUUAGAUACCCUGGUAGUCCACGCCGUAAACGAUGAGUGCUAAGUGUUAGGGGGUUUCCUCCCCUUAGUGCUGCAGCUAACGCAUUAAGCACUCCGCCUGGGGAGUACGACCGCAAGGUUGAAACUCAAAGGAAUUGACGGGGACCCGCACAAGCGGUGGAGCAUGUGGUUUAAUUCGAAGCAACGCGAAGAACCUUACCAAAUCUUGACAUCCUUUGACAACUCUAGAGAUAGAGCCUUCCCCUUCGGGGGACAAAGUGACAGGUGGUGCAUGGUUGUCGUCAGCUCGUGUCGUGAGAUGUUGGGUUAAGUCCCGCAACGAGCGCAACCCUUAAGCUUAGUUGCCAUCAUUAAGUUGGGCACUCUAAGUUGACUGCCGGUGACAAACCGGAGGAAGGUGGGGAUGACGUCAAAUCAUCAUGCCCCUUAUGAUUUGGGCUACACACGUGCUACAAUGGACAAUACAAAGGGCAGCGAAACCGCGAGGUCAAGCAAAUCCCAUAAAGUUGUUCUCAGUUCGGAUUGUAGUCUGCAACUCGACUACAUGAAGCUGGAAUCGCUAGUAAUCGUAGAUCAGCAUGCUACGGUGAAUACGUUCCCGGGUCU
rnacentral:rRNA from 1 species